rnacentral:rRNA from 1 species
AUUGAACGCUGGCGGAAUGCUUUACACAUGCAAGUCGAACGGCAGCACGGACUUCGGUCUGGUGGCGAGUGGCGAACGGGUGAGUAAUGUAUCGGAACGUGCCCAGUCGUGGGGGAUAACGUAGUGAAAAUUACGCUAAUACCGCAUACGAUCUAUGGAUGAAAGCGGGGGAUCGCAAGACCUCGCGCGAUUGGAGCGGCCGAAAUCAGAUUAGGUAGUUGGUGGGGUAAAGGCCCACCAAGCCAAAGAUCUGUAGCUGGUCUGCGAGGACGACCAGCCAAACGGGAACUGAGACACGGUCCAGACUCCUACGGGAGGCAGCAGUGGGGAAUUUUGGACAAUGGGCGAAAGCCUGAUCCAGCCAUUCCGCGUGCAGGAUGAAGGCCCUCGGGUUGUAAACUGCUUUUGUACAGAACGAAAAGGUUUCUACUAAUACUAGGAGCUCAUGACGGUACUGUAAGAAUAAGCACCGGCUAACUACGUGCCAGCAGCCGCGGUAA